rnacentral:misc_RNA from 1 species
GAAGAAGAAGAAGAAGAAAGGAGAGAGAGAGAUAGAGAAUUAGAGAGAAAUUGUGUAAUCUGUAUUCAAUGAAUCCCAUCGGUUACAACUUCAGUCUUUAUAUAGACUUUGCAAUUAUUCCUACCACUUCUUGUUAUGAAUCUGUUACAAUUAACAACUAUUAACACCCUAUAACAGAAACUAACUCUUGUUUACUAACUUCAUAUAUCACAACACCUAGCUUGCUUAAUGCUAAUAAGAUUUGGUGAAAGUUUUAGGUUGGAUGCCUUGCCACCUAAUCUGAUCCUUGCCUUCACCUGGGCCUUUUAUAUGUGGUGUGAAUAAAUUAAAAUUGCAUCCGACGGUGAUAUAAUUGUUUGUGCAUUCUUGAAAACAGUUCAAUUUGUGUUUUGCUGUUUAGCUGCUAAUACUUGCUAGACUAGUUUUAAAUCAUCAUCAUACCAUUAGCAAUGAUCACUCAUUCAGUCUAGUGAUUGCUGAAGAACCAAUGAAUCUUUAAUUUUGUUGGAAUUGAUGAGAUUCCAU